AUUGAACGCUGGCGGCAUGCCUUACACAUGCAAGUCGAACGGCAGCACGGGUGCUUGCACCUGGUGGCGAGUGGCGAACGGGUGAGUAAUACAUCGGAACAUGUCCUGUAGUGGGGGAUAGCCCGGCGAAAGCCGGAUUAAUACCGCAUACGAUCUACGGAUGAAAGCGGGGGACCUUCGGGCCUCGCGCUAUAGGGUUGGCCGAUGGCUGAUUAGCUAGUUGGUGGGGUAAAGGCCUACCAAGGCGACGAUCAGUAGCUGGUCUGAGAGGACGACCAGCCACACGGGGAUGGAGACAGGGCCCAGCCCCCUACGGGAGGCAGCAGGGGGGAUUUUUGGAAAAGGGGGGAAAGCUUGACCAAGAAAUGCCGCGUGUGGGAAGAAGGCCUUGGGGUGGUAAAGCGUUUUUGCCGGGAAAAAAAUCUUGGCCCCAAAUACGGGCGGGGGAGGAGGGUACGGAAAGAAAAAGCCCCGGCAAACUCCGUG
rnacentral:rRNA from 1 species